AGUGAACGCUGGCGGUAGGCUUAACACAUGCAAGUCGAACGGCAGCACCGUGAGAGCUUGGGCUUCCGGGGGGGCAGUGGCGGACGGGACAGGAAAACAUCCGACUCUACUUUUUCGUAGGGGUUAACGUAGGGAAACUUACGCUAAUAUCGCAUACGAUGCACGGGGGAAAGCAUGGGAUCUUCGGACCUUGUGCGAUUGGAUGCGCCGAUGUGGGGUUUGUUGGUUGGGGGGGUAAAGACCCACCAAGGCGACGAUCGGUAGCUGGUCUGAGAGGAGGAUCAGCCACACUGGAACUGAGACACGGUCAAGACUCCUAAGGGAGGCAGCAGUGGGGAAUAGUGGACAAUGGGCGCAAGCAUGAUCCAGCCAGACCGCGUGGGUGAAGAAGGCCUUCGGGUUGUAAAGACCUUUUGUGGGGAAAGAAAAGCAGCCGGCUAAUACCCAGCGGUUGUGACGGUAACGAAAGAAUAAGCACCGGCUAACUACGUG
rnacentral:rRNA from 1 species